rnacentral:rRNA from 1 species
UUCGCCCUUAGAGUUUGAUCCUGGCUCAGAACGAACGCUGGCGGCAUGCCUAACACAUGCAAGUCGAACGAAGGCUUCGGCCUUAGUGGCGCACGGGUGCGUAACGCGUGGGAAUCUGCCCUUAGGUUCGGAAUAACAGCUGGAAACGGCUGCUAAUACCGGAUGAUAUCGCGAGAUCAAAGAUUUAUCGCCUGAGGAUGAGCCCGCGUUGGAUUAGCUAGUUGGUGGGGUAAAGGCCUACCAAGGCGACGAUCCGUAGCUGGUCUGAGAGGAUGAUCAGCCACACUGGGACUGAGACACGGCCCAGACUCCUACGGGAGGCAGCAGAAGGG